CCUACGGGUGGCAGCAGUGAGGAAUAUUGGUCAAUGGGCGCGAGCCUGAACCAGCCAAGUCGCGUGAGGGAUGACGGUCCUACGGAUUGUAAACCUCUUUUGCCGGGGAGCAAGCGUGCGUUCGUGAACGCUCGUCGAGAGUACCCGGAGAAAAAGCAGCGGCUAACUCCGUGCCAGCAGCCGCGGUAAUACGGAGGAUGCGAGGGUUAUCCGGAUUUAUUGGGGUGAAAGGGUGCGUAGGCGGGAUGGCAAGUCAGCGGUAAAAAUGCGUUGCUAAACGCCGUAGAGCAGUUGAAACUGGUGUUCUGGAGUGGGCGAGAAGUAUGCGGAAUGCGUGGUGUAGCGGGGAAAUGCAUAGAUAUCAAGAAGAACUCCGAUUGCGAAGGCAGCAUACUGGCGCCCUACUGACGCUGAGGCACGAAAGCGUGGGUAUCGAACAGGAUUAGAUACCCGUGUAGUC
rnacentral:rRNA from 1 species